rnacentral:rRNA from 1 species
UACUAAGGGAGCUAGCGUUGUUCGGAAUCACUGGGCGUAAAGCGCACGUAGGCGGGUUGUUCAGUCAGGGGUGAAAUCCCGGAGCUCAACUCCGGAACUGCCCUUGAUACAGCAAGCCUUGAGUCCGGAAGAGGUAGGUGGAAUUCCUAGUGUAGAGGUGAAAUUCGUAGAUAUUAGGAAGAACACCAGUGGCGAAGGCGGCCUACUGGUCCGGCACUGACGCUGAGGUGCGAAAGCGUGGGGAGCAAACAGG